UACAGAGGGUGCGAGCGUUGUUCGGAAUUAUUGGGCGUAAAGAGCUCGUAGGUGGCCUGUCGCGUCGGCUGUGAAAACUCGGGGCUCAACUCCGAGCUUGCAGUCGAUACGGGCAGGCUAGAGUUCGGCAGGGGAGACUGGAAUCCCUGGUGUAGCGGUGAAAUGCGCAGAUAUCAGGAGGAACACCGGUGGCGAAGGCGGGUCUCUGGGCCGAUACUGACACUGAGGAGCGAAAGCGUGGGGAGCGAACAGG
rnacentral:rRNA from 1 species